UACGAAGGGUGCAAGCGUUGUUCGGAAUUAUUGGGCGUAAAGGGUUUGUAGGCGGGAAGAUAAGUUAAGUGUGAAAUCCCUGGGCUAAACCCAGGACUGUCAUUUAAGACUGUUUUUCUUGAGUCUCAGAGAGGGUGGUGGAAUUGUUGGUGUAGGAGUGACAUCCGUAGAGAUCAGCAGGAACACCGGAGGCGAAGGCGACCACCUGGCUGAAGACUGACGCUGAGGAACGAAAGCGUGGGGAGCAAACAGG
rnacentral:rRNA from 1 species